GAUGAACGCUGGCUACAGGCUUAACACAUGCGAGUCGAGGGGAAACGACGGGGAAGCUUGCUUCCCCGGGCGUCGACCGGCGCACGGGUGAGUAACGCGUAUCCAACCUGCCUCUGACUGAGGGAUAACCCGUCGAAAGUCGGCCUAAUACCUCAUGGCAUCGUCUGCGGGCAUCCAACGACGAUUAAAGAUUUCAUCGGUCAGAGAUGGGGAUGCGUCUGAUUAGCUUGUUGGCGGGGUAACGGCCCACCAAGGCGACGAUCAGUAGGGGUUCUGAGAGGAAGGUCCCCCACAUUGGAACUGAGACACGGUCCAAACUCCUACGGGAGGCAGCAGUGAGGAAUAUUGGUCAAUGGGCGAGAGCCUGAACCAGCCAAGUAGCGUGCAGGAUGACGGCCCUAUGGGUUGUAAACUGCUUUUAUGCGGGGAUAAAGUGAGGGACGUGUCCUUCAUUGCAGGUACCGCAUGAAUAAGGACCGGCUAAUUCCGUG
rnacentral:rRNA from 1 species